rnacentral:tRNA from 1 species
GCCCUGAUGGUCUAGCGGUAUGAUUCUCCCUUAGGGUCAUCUUCAGAUGUCUUGUAUGGGAGAGGUCCCAGGUUCGAUCCCUGGUUAGGGCC